rnacentral:lncRNA from 1 species
GUCUGUGGUGACAGCUCUAUAAUUUCAGCAUUAUUUUAAUACAAUGUGAGUGCCUUAUAUAUUUAUGCGACUUCAUUUUACAUCUCCUCUUUAGGAUAAUUGAUCUGUACUUGUCUCUACUAGCUUUCAGUAAUUUGCCUCAUUUUCGUCCUUUCUAUUUUUUUCCUGUUCCCCCCUCAGUUCUCCAUCCGCACUGGAAAACCUACCAGGCAUUCCCACAACGCUUUCUGUUUCCUGCAGCCUCCGUUUUUCGAGGAAGCCCUGUCGUGCACGAGAGGUCAGAUUGAUGGGGUGCCCCAGGCUCUGCGAGUUAAGUUGUUGGGCGCGGUGACUAUUACAGGAACGGCGGUGCCUUGAGUUAACUUCGUUAAUGCUCAGCUGGUGAGCACGUUUCUGCACCAUUGAGCUGACAGCUGAAAUCUGUCCCACUCCUGCCUGUGAUGUCAGCUGUGGGCCAGCCUGGCAGUCAACGAAAGGGGAGAGGAAAGAGCCAGGGGGAAAAGGAAGCAUUUUAUGACUGUGACCAGCCCUGCCGGACCUGUGUGUCAUGUGUCAAAAACCCCACGGCCCGCAGAUCUCAGUGGAUGUAGCGUUGCCUCUCAUGACACAUGCAGAGGACUCCCGCCUGCCUCGUGGGAUGCCAGCCGCCCCUGUGACUCUCACGGCUGACGUGCCAUCAGGCAGCCUUUCUAGAAAGAGCGGGGACCAGGCCUUUUCGGAGAGCUGAGACUCCAGUCAAACCAGGAAAACAGGCAGCGUUGGAGACAGUCGAGCCCACUGAGCACCCAUCGGAAAGUACCCAUCACAGAGGAACUUGGGAGCAAGCAGUGGACAAGAUGAUUCUGCCAGCGAAGGAGAGCCACUCUCCUUCCUCAUGCUCCGGAGCUGCCCACUGGGCUCGUGCGUGGAACUGCCGUGUGGUAGGCAUCGCGACUACAGCUGGGUCACCCGGCCUGACAGCUGCUCUUCCUGUCCAGUGCCUUCCAAGUCGUCUGCUUCCCACUCCUCAAAUAUCCGGGACAGGAUCCAGAGCAGGGGUCCUCAAACUACAGCCCUUCGGCCAAUCCAGCUGCCGCCUGAUUGUGUAUGGCCCCUGAGUAAG